AGAACGCACAUUAAUUAUCCCUAGGACCAUGUGAUAAACAAAAAUCCUACAAAACCAAGUUAGCACACCCUAGAAUGGUUUUAGCACGAUUACUAUAUGGCUUUGAUACUAAUUGAUGGGAAAAACCC
rnacentral:pre_miRNA from 1 species